GACAGAGGGUGCAAACGUUGUUCGGAAUUACUGGGCGUAAAGCGUGCGUAGACGGUUAUGUAAGUCAGAUGUGAAAGCCCCGGGCUUAACCUUGGGAAUGGCAUUUGAGACUUGCAAUAGCUAGGGUGGCGGAAGAGGGAAGCGGAAUUUCCGGUGUAGCGGUGAAAUGCGUAGAUAUCAGGAGGAACACCGGUGGUGUAGACGGCUUCUGGACCGUAACUGACGCUGAGACACGAAAGCGUGGGUAGCAAACAGG
rnacentral:rRNA from 1 species